rnacentral:pre_miRNA from 1 species
AAAGUACUCCCUCCGUCUCAAAAUUCUUGUCUUAGAUUUGUCUUGAUACGGAUGUAUCAAGUCACAUUUUAGUAUUAGAUACAUCCGUAUCUAGACAAAUCUAAGACAAGAAAUUUGGAACAGAGGGAGUAGUUG